rnacentral:rRNA from 1 species
GUGAACGCUGGCGGUAGACCUAACACCUUCAAGUCGCACGGCAGCACAGUAAGAGCUUGCUCUUACGGGUGGCGAGUGGCGGACGGGUGAGGAAUACAUCGGAAUCUACUUUUUCGUGGGGGAUAACGUAGGGAAACUUACGCUAAUACCGCAUACGACCUACGGGUGAAAGCAGGGGAUCUUCGGACCUUGCGCGAUUGAAUGAGCCGAUGUCGGAUUAGCUAGUUGGCGGGGUAAAGGCCCACCAAGGCGACGAUCCGUAGCUGGUCUGAGAGGAUGAUCAGCCACACUGGAACUGAGACACGGUCCAGACUCCUACGGGAGGCAGCAGUGGGGAAUAUUGGACAAUGGGCGCAAGCCUGAUCCAGCCAUACCGCGUGGGUGAAGAAGGCCUUCGGGUUGUAAAGCCCUUUUGUUAGGAAAGAAAAGCAGCAGGUUAAUACCCCGCUGUUCUGACGGUACCCAAAGAAUAAGCACCGGCUAACUUCGUG